rnacentral:rRNA from 1 species
GCAAGCGUUGUUCGGAUUUACUGGGCGGAAAGGGCGCGUAGGCGGUCAGCACAAGUCAGUUGUGAAAUCUCCGGGCUUAACUCGGAAAGGUCAACUGAUACUGUGCGACUAGAGUGCAGAAGGGGCAACUGGAAUUCUCGGUGUAGCGGUGAAAUGCGUAGAUAUCGAGAGGAACACCUGCGGCGAAGGCGGGUUGCUGGGCUGACACUGACGCUGAUGCGCGAAAGCCAGGGGAGCGAACGGG